CCUACGGGAGGCAGCAGUGAGGAAUAUUGGUCAAUGGGAGCGAUCCUGAACCAGCCAAGCCGCGUGAAGGAAGACGGCCCUAUGGGUUGUAAACCUCUUUUAUCGGAGAACAAAACCCGGGACGUGUCCCGUCCUGCGUGUAUCCGAAGAAAAAGCAUCGGCUAACUCCGUGCCAGCAGCCGCGGUAAUACGGAGGAUUCGAGCGUUAUCCGGAUUUAUUGGGUUUAAAGGGUGCGUAGGCGGUCCGUUAAGUCAGCGGUAAAAUGCCGGGGCUCAACCCCGUCGAGCGGUGGAAACGGGCAGACUUGAGUGGGCGAGAAGUAGGCGGAAUGCGUGGUGUAGCGGUGAAAUGCAUAGAUAUCGCGAAGAACUCCGAUUGCGAAGGCAGCGUACCGGAGCGAGACUGACGCUGAUGCACGAAAGCGUGGGGAUCGAACAGGAUUAGAUACCCGAGUAGUC
rnacentral:rRNA from 1 species